UCCGGUUUGUCACCGGCAGUCUCCUUAGAGUGCCCUUGCGUAGCAACUAAGGACAAGGGUUGCGCUCGUUGCGGGACUUAACCCAACAUCUCACGACACGAGCUGACGACAGCCAUGCAGCACCUGUGUUCCAGUUCCCUUUCGGGCACACCCGCCUUUCAGCAGGCUUCCGGACAUGUCAAGGGUAGGUAAGGUUGUUCGCGUUGCAUCGAAUUAAACCACACGCUCCGCUGCUUGUGCGGGCCCCCGUCAAUUCCUUUGAGUUUCAAUCUUGCGAUCGUACUUCCCAGGUGGGAUACUUAAUGCUUUCGCUCAGACACCAACAGUGUAUCGCUGAUGUCGAGUAUCCAUCGUUUAGGGCGUGGACUAC
rnacentral:misc_RNA from 1 species